GCCCCUAAGACGAGGAUAACAGUUGGAAACGACUGCUAAGACUGGAUAGGAGACAAGAAGGCAUCUUCUUGUUUUUAAAAGACCUAGCAAUAGGUAUGCUUAGGGAGGAGCUUGCGUCACAUUAGUUAGUUGGUGGGGUAAAGGCCUACCAAGACUAUGAUGUGUAGCCGGGCUGAGAGGUUGAACGGCCACAUUGGGACUGAGACACGGCCCAAACUCCUACGGGAGGCAGCAGUAGGGAAUUUUCGGCAAUGGAGGAAACUCUGACCGAGCAACGCCGCGUGAACGAUGAAGUAUUUCGGUACGUAAAGUUCUUUUAUUAGGGAAGAAUAAAUGAUGGAAAAAUCAUUCUGACGGUACCUAAUGAAUAAGCCCCGGCUAACUAUGUGCCAGCAGCCGCGGUAAUACAUAGGGGGCAAGCGUUAUCCGGAAUUAUUGGGCGUAAAGGGUGCGUAGGCGGUUAAAUAAGUUUAUGGUCUAAGUGCAAUGCUCAACAUUGUGAUGCUAUAAAAACUGUUUAGCUAGAGUAAGAUAGAGGCAAGUGGAAUUCCAUGUGUAGUGGUAAAAUGCGUAAAUAUAUGGAGGAACACCAGUAGCGAAGGCGGCUUGCUGGGUCUUUACUGACGCUGAGGCACGAAAGCGUGGGGAGCAAACAGGAUUAGAUACCCUGGUAGUCCACGCCGUAAACGAUGAGUACUAAACGUUGGGUAAAACCAGUGUUGAAGUUAACACAUUAAGUACUCCGCCUGAGUAGUACGUACGCAAGUAUGAAACUUAAAGGAAUUGACGGGACUCCGCACAAGCGGUGGAUCAUGUUGUUUAAUUCGAAGGUACCCGAAAAACCUCACCAGGUCUUGACAUGCUUCUGCAAAGCUGUAGAAACACAGUGGAGGUUAUCAGUUGCACAGGUGGUGCAUGGUUGUCGUCAGCUCGUGUCGUGAGAUGUUGGGUUAAGUCCCGCAACGAGCGCAACCCUUAUUGUUAGUUACCAGCACGUAAUGGUGGGGACUUUAGCAAGACUGCCAGUGAUGAAUUGGAGGAAGGUGGGGACGACGUCAAAUCAUCAUGCCCCUUAUGACCUGGGCUACAAACGUGAUACAAUGGCUGUUACAAAGGGUAGCUGAAGCGCAAGUUUUUGGCGAAUCUCAAAAAAACAGUCUCAGUUCGGAUUGAAGUCUGCAACUCGACUUCAUGAAGUUGGAAUCGCUAGUAAUCGCGAAUCAGCAUGUCGCGGUGAAUACGUUCUCGGGGUUUGUACACACCGCCCGUC
rnacentral:rRNA from 1 species